AGCGCGGUUGGAGUGUACAAAAUAGAGGUGGACUGCCGGGCUGCCGAGGGAACCUCGUGCAUACACCCCUCACCUUCGGCCUCCUGACCUGCCUGUUGUAGGAAACACAACAGCUUUGGGGAGCUUCAUGAUUUGCUAGGCAAACUUGGAGAAAAACAUGAAAGGCUUAAUUAAAGGUUUGUUGCCAGCUUGAGCCAGACUUGAGUGGACUGGAAUGAUUCCUAUGGUGGGAAAUGAUUGAUCAGGAGCCAUGGGUGCCACUAGAUAAUAAGUUUUGAUAUCUUCCCUUGGCUUGGUUCAUGUUUCACCCUGACAUCUCUAACAGCCCAAAGAACUACCACUUAAGAUCAGAAUGGUGGAACACUGGGAAUCCAUUUCUUUUUAGGAGGUUUUUCAUCUGAAAGGAAAAAACUGUCCCUUUGUUUUCCUGAGAAUUUGCCUGGUCCUACUAUGGUUAUUUUACUCUUGGUUUGAUAUUUAUCCAGUGUUGAAAAGCCUGAUUCUGUUUCUUUGAAGGAUCAAGAAUUACUAGACCUUAGUAAAAUUUUCGGCUUUGUGUCCUAUGUAUCUGAAGAAAGAAAAUAAAAUCUUUAAAUCAAAAUGUUCUUGUGUUUGGUCUGCACAUUGGUAAUAAGGAAUGAGCAGGGAUGGCACCAGCUGUCUACAACAUUCAUUUGCUAAUUACUCGUCCCAGGUUUUUGUGUGUGGAAGAUCAGUCUAGGGGGAAAUUUGUUCCUUUGCAGGGCUUGCAUUCCACAUGUAUUCAUGCUCAUAGAUUGGAUUUUGUAUUGGAAAUUACAGAAUCAGAUGCUCCCACUACACUGUCAGUGACAGAUCUACUCAGGUGACUGAGUAGGAGUUCAGUAGGUUUGGGUAAAUAAAAAGGGGCUGGCAGAGGCAACUGAGAAGGAGCAGGCAUGCCCCGUAGAAAGUGUUAGGGUGUGGAGUGAAUGAAGGGAACUCUUACCUAGAACGCAGACACUUCAGCAGAAUGCAGGCUGCUCACUGCGUUCUGUCAGUCUCAAGGGAAGGAAGGCCAAAAUGAAAUCGAUGUACUUGGAAGUGUGAUGGGAGUUUCAUUCAGGGCUUAAGGCACCUAGCAAAAUUACUGACUUUAACCAUUACAUUGCAUGAUUGUAUUUUUGGAACUAUGAACCUCCUCCCCUGAACCCUAGGCUGAUAUGUUGAUUCACUGCAGUAUAAAUUGACCAGUUCUUCCCUCAAUUUUUCUGUAAACUCAAAAGGCAGGGUAGCAAAUUCAUUUUCCCCAACUAUGGAGCUGUGCAGUCGAACGGUUAGGACUGGUAUUGUGGUUCCUAUUUCCCCACUGAGGAUCAGUUUCCUCAGCUGACAACUAGAAAUGGAGGAUUAAAAAGCAUGCAUUUUAGCCUGCUAUCUGGCACAGCCGGAAUAGAAGAUAGGACUGUUAAGAGCUAAAUUUAACUUGUAGAUAAUGGGUACCGACUUCCUGUUGUAUAUUCUAGUAUGUCAGGGUUUCAUCAGACAAUAAGUGGCUUGCAAAAUUAGGAUAAUAGUGUGAAAAGCUGGGGUGGUCCACGUAUGUGUAAACCUCAAGGGAUGUUUAAAUAAUCUAGAUCUAGUAGAGGCAGCACCUCAAGGCUGGAAAUGGUAAAGAGGAACAGUUUCUGGAAUUCGGAGACCUAGCUGGUGAGGGGAAACGGCAAGCCUGCUGUACCCUUCUAGACUAGGUGAAUAAAUUGCCUGUCACUUCGAGCUGGACCAAAGCCUCCCCUCCUACCUCCCUCCCUCUUUGGCUUGCUACCAUGUUGGAGAGACCCAUGUGGCCAUGACCUGAGGGUGGCCUCUAGUUAACAGCCAGCAAAGAGCUAAGUCUUCAAUCCAGCAGACUGUCAGGACUCAGAUCCUGCCACCAACCGCAGGAGUGAGCCUGGAAGCAGAUGCUUUCCCGGUCGAGCCUUGCGAUGAUUACAACCCUGACUGGUACCUUGACUGCAGUUUCUGAGAAUCCUGGAAGCAGAGGACCAGCGUUAUCAUUUGAGAUGAUGUUUUUAAAGCCACUAAGUUUUGAGGCCUUAUAGAGAAUGCCGUGGAAGUCAUGAGAAGUUAGAAGCUGGAAGAGAAAGGAGAGACCAUCAUCAUGUGAUGGAAAAGCCACAGAACCUCAAGGAUCGCUGGCAGCCAGCCUCAGAACACCAGUCUGGAGAGAAAGCAUUGCCUCAUUGAUACUUCAAUUUUGGACUUAAAUCCUCAAAACCACGAGCCAAUAAAUCCCCAUUGUUUAAACCAACCCAUUGUAUGGUAUUUAUUUUAGCAGCUGGGAAACUGAAACAAGGUGAUAAGUGCAAUGGAGAAAACUGAAGUUGAGAAAGGGGAUAGGGACUGUGGAAGCAGUUGGAAACUGUAAAGGUGAUAAUUUGUGUGCAGAGUUGAAGGAGGAGAUCAGGGAGUUAUCACCAGGGUAAAGCAUCACAGACAAGUGAAAAGCCUUGAAGCAAAAACAUGCCUGUUGUGUUCAGGGGGUAGAAAGGAGACCAGUGUUGCUGAAGCCCAGAGGAGUUGAAGUAAGGGAUAGUAGGAAGCUAGUCACACACGGCCUUGAGAGGGAUGGGAGCAAUGGGCAAUUUUGAGCAGAGAAAUGAAUAACUUUGAUUUCAACAGAAUUCCUCCUGGUGCCGUGUGGAGAACAGACUAUAGGCAAAGAGGGAAGCAGGAAGAUAAGUAGGAGAACUUUUGUAAGAAUUAAGUGCUAUGCAGUCAAGAGUUCACACAGCAGGCUUGUGUUGCCCAAACCCUGCACAUUCCAAAAGUCUGG